UGUGUAUGCGUGUGUGUGUGUGUGUUGUUCUAUAUUUUGACUGGCUCUACUCGGUCCUAACCGCUCUUGAAGAGCAAGAUGGCCACUUGGCCCAAAUAGAAGUAGAUGAAGU